UCAAAAAGGUUUUUUUUUUUUUUUUUUUUUUUUUUUGAGUCAUUUUACUGAAGGUCGAAAAAAUUAUCAAAGAGACACGAAGAAAUCGAUUUCUUCCAAUAAAGAAGAAAAAA
rnacentral:ribozyme from 13 species